rnacentral:rRNA from 1 species
ACUCUUGAAGUCUUAGUGGCGCAGCUAACGCACUAAGUAGACCGCCUGGGGAGUACGGCCGCAAGGUUAAAACUCAAAUGAAUUGACGGGGGCCCGCACAAGCGGUGGAGCAUGUGGUUUAAUUCGACGCAACGCGAAGAACCUUACCUGGCCUUGACAUGCAGAGAACUUUCCAGAGAUGGAUUGGUGCCUUCGGGAACUCUGACACAGGUGCUGCAUGGCCGUCGUCAGCUCGUGUCGUGAGAUGUUGGGUUAAGUCCCGUAACGAGCGCAACCCCUAUCCCUAGUUGCUAGCAGUUCGGCUGAGAACUCUAGGGAGACUGCCGGUGACAAACCGGAGGAAGGUGGGGAUGACGUCAGGUCAUCAUGGCCCUUACGGCCAGGGCUACACACGUGCUACAAUGGUGCGUACAGAGGGCUGCAAACCCGCGAGGGGGAGCUAAUCUCACAAAACGCAUCGUAGUCCGGAUCAGGGUCUGCAACUCGACUCCGUGAAGUCGGAAUCGCUAGUAAUCGCGAAUCAGAAUGUCGCGGUGAAUACGUUCCCGGGCCUUGUACACACCGCCCGUCACACCAUGGGAGUGGAUUGCACCAGAAGUGGUUAGUCUAACCUUCGGGAGGA